UGAAGUCUGUGGAAGCUUUAACUUCACUGUAAAUGGAAGUGAAUAUAAAAAAAAUAGACAGCAGUUGGGCAAUGGUGAAGAAGUUACUGCAUUGCCAAUUUUUUUAGUAGCUUCAUUAGUAUUGAAGUUGGAUAGCAAAGCUUAAAAGCCCUAGUCUUGGUUGUUGUGGAACCUAGGAAGAAAUAUAAUCUUUUAUCUUAAAAGUUAUUGUUUUGGAGAAUUCGAGAUAAAGAUGGAAGUGAGUUUUUGUUAAUUUUUAUUUUUUUAAUGUUAGGGGGGUAUUAGAGAUGGAGGAAAUCAUAGCUUAUGAAUAGAAAUCAAAAGAUAGAGUUAAGUAUAAUGGAGGAUCUUUCCAAGUAUGACCAUAGUCCUGUGCAUUUAGCUGUUGCCCACCGUGACUAUGCUGGGCUUACGCAUAUCGUCUCAACACUCCCUCGGCUUGCCAAGGCUGGUGAGGUUAAUACUGAAGCUGAAUCUCUUGAGGCUGAGCUCCAGGCUGAUGCUGUUUCAGCUGUUAUAGAUUGUCGUGAUGUCCCUGGUAGGGAGACUCCACUGCAUUUAGCAGUGCGGUUGCGAGAUCCAAUUGCGGCGGAGAUUUUGAUGGUGGCUGGAGCAGAUUGGAGUCUUCAGAAUGAGCAAGGUUGGAGUGCUUUGCAAGAAGCAGUAUGCACAAGGGAAGAGGCAAUUACCAUGAUCAUUGCACGACACUACCAGCCACUUGCCUGGGCAAAAUGGUGUCGUAGACUUCCCCGGAUUGUUGCCUCAGCAGCUCGAAUCCAUGACUUUUACAUGGAGAUAACUUUUCAUUUUGAAAGCUCAGUCAUUCCUUUUAUUGGUCGUAUUGCACCAUCAGACACUUACCGCAUUUGGAAGCGGGGUUCAAAUCUCCGUGCUGAUAUGACACUUGCUGGAUUUGAUGGGUUCCGUAUUCAAAGAUCAGACCAAACAUUUCUCUUUCUAGGGGAAGGGUACACUUCUGAGGAUGGGAAUCUUUCUCUUCCUCCAGGCUCUUUGAUUGCUCUUUCUCAUAAGGAAAAAGAAGUUACAAAUGCUCUGGAGGGGCUGGUGCACAACCAACAGAAUCAGAAGUUGCUCAUGAAGUAGCAUUGAUGUUUCAAACUAAUAUGUAUAGGCCUGGAAUUGAUGUCACUCAGGCUGAGCUUGUUCCUCAUUUGAAUUGGAGGAGACAAGAGAGAAGUGAGAUGGUCGGAAAUUGGAAGGCUAAAGUUUAUGAUAUGCUUCAUGUGACAGUCAGUGUGAAGUCAAGGAGGGUUCCAGGUGCAAUGACUGAUGAAGAGCUUUUUUCUGUGGAUAAUGAAGAAAGGAUGGCAAAUGGUGGUGACAAUGAUGAAUAUGAUGAUGUAUUGACAGCUGAGGAAAGGAUGCAGUUGAAUUCAGCACUUUGUAUGGGAAAUUCUGAUGGUUUUUGUGAUGAUGGUGAGCAUGGAGUCGUUGACUGCCAAGAAAAUGGUUCAGGAGGUUCCUAUGAAAAUUGUGAAUCAAAUGCUGUUGCCAAGGAGAAGAAGAGCUGGUUUGGCUGGAAUAAGAAAGCCUCAAAGAAUAGUGAUGAUCCUGAGGAUUCUAAGAUUUUGAAGAAGUUCUCAAAUCUGGCCCCUGAAGGUAGCAAUCAGAGACAAGUUGGUAGUCACAAAUCAUCUUCUGAAUCUACAAAGCAAGAUGCUGUGGAUGGCAAGAACGGUAAAGAAAAAGGCAGCAAGAAGAAGAAGAAGAAAGGGGGCAUUAGUGAUGAUAAACAUGAGACUGAGUACAAGAAGGGUUUGAGACCUGUUUUGUGGUUAACACCAGAUUUCCCUUUAAAGACAGAGGAACUCCUGCCUUUACUUGACAUAUUAGCCAACAAGGUUAAGGCUAUAAGGAGACUAAGGGAGCUUUUGACAACUAAACUGCCUUCGGGCACAUUUCCAGUCAAGGUAAUUUAAGAUAUAUACUCAAAACAAUUUUCUGAUUUUAUGAUGAAAAUCCAGUUUAGUUUUUAAUUGUAUGCAUAAAUCAUGCUUUGUUUUUAAUGUCAAUGCAAUUCUCACUAUUUUGUUUAUUUUUUAUUAUUUUUGUGGGUUGUAGCAUAAGAAGUUAUGAUAAGAAAUACUGAAGUAGAAUUAAGGUUUCACAGUUGACUAAGAGUGGUAGUCAUGUCUUAAAAUGAAAAGGAAUCAAUAUCUUUAGGCAGGAAAAAUGAUCCUAGGUUAGAGCAAAUACUCAAAUUGCAAUAAAAAAUGGUUUGCUGACCUUAUUUUACUUGUGUCCCCUGUGAUCUAAUUGUCUCAUUUUCCUCACAUUAAUGCUAACAAACACAGGAAAUGAGUUUAUUAGUGGUAUCCUUGUUUGUAUGGUGUUUUAAAUCCAAUCUCAUUAUUAAUGAUGAUUGAAAGUAACUUGAAUAAGUGCAGAAUUACGGUAGAUUGUGAGCUUAUUGUUAUUUGAGAAUCAUACUUAUGCAAUGGUAAUGAAAAACUCUUAGGACAUACAUAUCAGAUGUCCUUUUUAUAUUACUAACCGUUUAAUAUAUUGUUUUUGGUUGAAAAUCUUAGGAGUGCUUUGGCCAUUUCUCACCUGAAUCUGUGUUAUUGGUGUUAGAUUCUGAUGAUUGAAAAACUUAGAACAGUUUUUGCACGUGGGUGAUGGGGAAAUUCAGACUCAUUUGGCGGGAAUAUGCUUUGUAACCAUCUUUCUUUUUGCUGGAUCUACAAUAUUCGUAUGCCUAUUGUAAUGCAUUUGUGCUGAUGCUUGCUGACCCUAGCUCAAGUCACUAGAUGAAGUUUGGAUCUAAGAUAGGUAUUAGGAGAGUGUAUCGGCAUUUAAUAUUUCAAAAUGACUGGAUGCUUGAGACUACAAAAUUAUCCUUGAAAGCUAGAGGUGAAUAUUUUUACUACAAAAUUAUCCUUGAAAGCUGGAGGUGAAUAUUUUUAAGGUCUGGAAGUUUAAGUUAUGUUGGACCUAUAAAUGUCAGAAGAAGAAGCCACUUUUAAAAUCUAUAUUUAGGUUUGCCAUAUUGCUGGAAUCUGUCCAGAACCUCUAUGGUAAAAUAUGUAUAUAUGAUGCGAACAUGACAAAUGCUUUGUGCAUGAUAGGGAGCCAGCAAAAUACUUCCUUUGUUGUUGCCAGCACUGUCUUUCUUUUUAACACUCUUCAAUUCAAAUUAACUCCGAAAUGGCCCCAGGGGUAUAAGAUCUUCAUUUUAAAUGUUAGUCAGUAGAAAAAAAAUUCCCGCCACCUGAAAAAGGGUAAAUAUUUUUUUUUCCUGGCUGGCUACUAACAUGCUUUCGCCUUAUCAGGAUUGUUUCUAUAAAAUAUCUUUCUUGAGUCCUCAGUUUUACUUUUUGAAUGAAUUCACAUUAAUGUCUUGUUUUCCCUAUUCCAGGUUGCCAUCCCUAUUAUCCCAACUAUUCGAGUCCUUGUCACCUUCACAAAAUUUGAGGAGCUUCAGCCUAUUGAGGAGUUCUCAACACCUCUCUCCAGCCCGGCACAUUUCCAGGAUGCCAAGUCAAAGGAAUCAGAGGGUUCAACAUCAUGGAUUUCAUGGAUGAGAGGGAGUCACGGUGGCCAUUCAAGUGAUGGUGAUAGUCAUCGGUAUAAGGAUGAGGUUGAUCCUUUUCACAUACCAUCCGACUAUACCUGGGUUAAUGCCAAUGAGAAAAAACGUCGUACAAAAGCCAAGAAAGCUAAAAGCAAGAAGCACAAAAGGCCGGCAGUAGCCAAAGGUGAGGAUGGAGGCCAUCAGGUGAAUGAAGAGGUCGAUGAAUAAUUACAGUCCCAGUUAUUUCACCCCUUUGGUUGGCAUCUACAAGAGAAAGAGGAGUUAAGGCUCCUCCCUAUACGCAUCUGACAUUUUUCUAAUUAUACUUUGCAACUUGGGGCAGUUGAUUUGCAGAAUGAUUGGUAGGGGAAUCACUUUGAUUAAGAAGAGGAACCUUGUCUUCUUCUAUUGUUGUAUUGUUAUGUGAUGUGAAAUUUGAGAUUUCUUUAAUAACUUGUUUCAUUUCUAAUUUUUCUUGGACAUCAAAUCUUUGUAUCUAAGUCCAUAGUCAUCAAAUUUUCAUUUUUGUGAUUGGUAUUCUUUUUCCUGUCAUUGUUGGUUCUUUUCUAUAACCAGUUUUUUCUUCUACCUUUUGGAAAAUGCAUAAUUAAAGAAUAUGAAAUAAUAUCACAUUUGACGGUAUAAUAUCUAUAAGACAAUACUUAAAUUUUUCAUAAACUUAGGAUACAAAAUGUUAAGUAUACAAUCAAUGGCUAAUGGCAAAUGGAACUUUUUGUAUACAAUGGUGUUUGCAUGGUUAAUGAUCAUUGUCGGAUAUAUAAAGUUUCAAACUACCUAGAUGGUACAUAACUUUUGAAAACGCCAACAAUGGCGACAAAAUAGAACAAAAACUAGAAAAUCCUCUCCAUUAUUGUGUCGUGCUCGUCAUGAAACUCAUUGCUCUUUGGUAUCUUUAGGCCAUCAACCGAUUUAGCUGAUGAAUACUUUGUAUAAAAAUAAAUUAAUCCACAUCCAUCAUACCCGGCAAGGUUAUCACACAUCAUGAAAGAGCCGCCUUAUCUGGUCAAUGUCUGCCGGCAUUAAUGUGACUGGGCAGCGCUUAUACUGUGGCAAUGAAACACAGCAGAAGUCAUAUAAGACUCGGGAAAAAAAUCUACUCAAAAGUUGAAUGGAACUAAAGAUGAAGAUCAUCAUGGAUGAUUUACAUAAAGGGAGUCUAGUGAAGUUUCACUUGAGAACGGGACAGAUGAAAAAAAUGACAUGAUUAGACUAUCUUUACUAAAGGAAUUCAUACAUUCUAUCAAGCCCUUUUGGCAAGUUUCCCUGCACAUCGUCAGAGGCAUAUUGUGAAAGAGUUCAUUUGGUUCAACAAAUAGGGUUUGAAGGCCUUACCUGAGAAACAUACUUGUGUAUGCAAGCAUAACAGAAGACAAACCCUGAAACUGUAACUACUGAUGGAUUUGCACGCUUCUGCGAGCACAAUGGGCAGAUUGUUCUAUCAGGUGGCAAGGGUAUCCCAUCUUUGGCAACCUGCAUGGAUGAUAAGUCAAAUAUUUGAUUUUUGAGUGACAUAGUGGCAAAAGGUUGCCCUUAUUUCUUCUAUUUUCUGAUUGGUAUUUGACAAAUAGAAACCGCUGCAAAAAUCCUCAAAUAGUUGCAUAAUUUAUGCCAAAUGCAAUAAAAAAAAUCAAUGCCUCCAUAUCCUUGGUGACAUAUCCCAGAUUAAUAUCCACCAAUAUAUACAUUGAAACAUAUGUAAAUAAGUGCUCAUACAUAAUUCUCCAUUUUAUUGAAAGAAAUAUGAUACAUGUAAUAAUUAGGACUAGUUUUAUGUGCACGUGUAUGAAAGCCAGGGUGUGAGGAGAUAGAGAGGUGGAUUCCUCACCUUUGGGGGUGGUGGUGGUGGAGGUGGGGGAUACACAGUUGGAGCUGACAUUCUCUCCUCAGCAGAUUGAUACCACCAUUCCAUCAUCUAUGAUCAUUGCACAUAAACUAAGAUUAUCCAUAUUGAAAAAGAAAUCAAAGCUAAUUCCAUUACUUUUUCCAAAAAUAAAGUCGAACUUCACAUGGAAAGACAUCAACUGGUUUCAAGAAACAAAAAAUAACAAAGAAUAAUUAACACAUGAAUAUCAACUUUGGAGAGGUAGACAAAACUUUAAGAAGUGUCAGAGUUAAUUGAUAUCAAUUAUAAUCUCAGUUAUGCCAUCCAGUCUUAUGUUAUUACUAAGUUGAAUUAGAAUCCAGGAAAGUAAAUGAAGGUUAAACUAAUAACAAGAAGUUUAUGAAAAGUAUCUAUGAAAGAAUAUUAUGAGUCCAUCAUGGCAUUUACAUGAUGGUAUGGCCCACUGUUUUGGCCUUAAAAAAUGAGAAACUGAUUGAUUUAGUUUGGCUUGGUCCAGUUAUUCUAGAUUUUCACUUUGACAACGUAACAUCUAACAAUUUUUGCAUACUUUAUGUUUUUCAUGUAUAGUUAAUAAUAAUAUAUAGCAUCACUAAACCACAAAGGACAGUAAAAUUUAUAACCAGUAAAUUAUACUCACUUUAAAGAUGAAUACUGCAGCGAUUAAACCAGUUUGAGCAUAGUCCAGCAGUGCAUAUGUGCAUUUAAGCAAUGCUCCUUGUAGUGCCUGCAGGAAUUAUAUGUCUAAUCAAUAUGAUAAAUUUUAACAUAACAUAAUUAGUAGUUAAAGUUAGAUAAAAAAUCUCAAUGGUACUAAGUAUAAUAUUCACAAAAAUACCUUUAACCAUGGAGGGCCCCGAAGCCUCUCACGUUCACGACUUCGAAUUUUGGAAAUUCUAGAAGAAGUAUCCAUCUACCUUGACAUCAAAAUAAGUAUACUGAAUGUGUGUGCAUAUAUAUAAUACAGAUAAGAACAGAAUGCUGAACAAAUAAAAUUAUCAUUGACAUUUUUACUGCAACCAAGUGUGCAUGUAUGUGGACAUGUAUUGGGCAUGGAAAAAGCAUGAAGCAACAAAAUAGUGCUCCAUGGACAUUAAUGUAAUAAAAGAUGAAGAUUCACAACAGAAAUUAUUGUUGAAUCUAAAUACCAAUUCUUGUCCUGUUGCUCGACAAACAUGAAUCCCAAGUGCAUGUAAUCCAACAGAAUAGAACCCAGUAGCGUCCAGCAGAUAUAAAAGCUGAUAAGUAAAUGUUAGUCCUGCAGCAUAAAACUCAAGAUUAGAUUAAAGCAUGUCACUGGCGAUCCAAACAAAGCAUGGUCAUAAACAGCUAGUGGACAUCCAAAGCUCUUCCAAGAAUAUUACAAUUAUAAAUAUGAUUGACACUAUCAGAAACUAAUUACGGCAUGAAGAUUUAUACUAGUAUGCUUGUAGAAAAAACAAAAUGAGAUCCAAGGUCAGCAACCCACAUUUAGCUAUUAAUUAUUUAUAGGUCAUCAAUAACAGUUCCACUUAAGGUUAUGUAGUCAUAGAACAAUGAUUGGUUAACAUUACCUUCAUUUUCUGCAAACAGGGAUAACAAAAAUGAAAACUUAGAUCUGACCACCUUCAGUGGUAGCAUGUACCCACGGUAGCAUGCACCUAUAAUUUUCUGAAUAUUCUUCGCAACUCGUGUUCUCAAUUGUUGCUUCUGUUUUCUGUGGAUGUUCUUGAUGCAGUCAAAGCCAUCCCCUUCAUCAAAUAGUCAACGUCUUCAAAUCUUUCAUCCCCAGGACGCCAUAACUUGUUUGAAAGCCUGGCUUCCCUUUCUUUGUUAUAAAUUGAAUGCAAUUUUGACUUAAAGUAUGGCAACACAACCUAGACAGAUGUAUCAAAAUCAGAAGUUACUACUGCAUCCAGCAAAGGAUGUUGGAGGGAAACAGGUGAUAGAGUUGGAAAUGAGUUAAAACUGUCAGUACACUCAGUAAUGCUCUCCAAUAAAGAAGAAAUUUAGCAGAUUACUUGAUUAUAAGUUUAUUAAAACAUCUUAAUAAGAAAAAAGAAAGAUGCAGAAUUCUACCAAAAAUACAACUGAAAGAACUCUUUGACGCCUUUCUAGACCAGAAUGUUGGAUACCAUCACUAGAUUUUGAUCGGAUGUCAGCUUGUUUUGUUCUUAUUUUUGCUGCUCUCCUCCGCAGGCCAUAUAGAGACUCAGAAAAUGAAGCUUCUGAAUAAGAAUGGUUUAUUGCAAAACAAGUCAAACAUACAUCUUCAAACCACAAAUAACAAAAUUAAGAUAAAUUUAUAUCUACAUACAGCAACCAACAUGCAGUGGGCAUUAUUAUAAGCUUUCAAAAUAAGAAACUUGUUAGAAAUAUGUUGAAUUCCUUAAGAGCUAAUAAUAAUAGUUUUGCAUUUGCAUGAAAUGACCAUCCACUGCGACUUCCUUCCUUCAACAAGCUGGUUGGUUCUGGGCUUCUAGCUAGGUGUUCAUUAAUGUUGAUAUAAUUAAUGAAGGAAAAUUCAUUCUAUAUGCUACAACUAAUAGAUGGUGGGCUGCAACUCAUUUUGAUCAUGCUAGAUCAUGGAACGGAGCCUCUAAAUUUAAGAAUUUCCACAAAUCACAUUCCAACAAUAAGAAUGAAAUACGUUACCACAAGAUUCAGAAAAUAAUCUCCUUAUUUCCUACACCCCUACAACCUUGACAUUCAGCAUCAUCAUAUGGAAGGGAAUAAAUUUCAUUGGAUGCAGGGAAGGGACAAUUAUAUGGCACAUCAAACAAUUUUUAAUGCAUCAUCUACCAUCAUAGAUUACAUUAUUUUUCACACAGGGAAGCAACAAAAACAAAUUCAUAGUUCACAGCACACACGUGUAGAAAACUAUUUCCAUAGGUACAAUUAAGGCGAUGUACAAAAAGUAAGGGGUGAAACCAGAAUGAGCAUUAUAAGUUCAGAGGAAGAACACAAGCAAUUUGGAAGAAAACUAAAAAGGGUUAGCCCACAUCUGUAUUCUAAUUCCCCCUUAGACAAGAUCAAAUUGAACAAUGAUUUUUCCAUAGAGCUUUCUUGCCUCUAUUUACAUGAAAGUACAAUAGAUGAAUAGUCAUUCGAUGAAAAUCAAUUGAAUAUUUUAUUUCCUAUCAGAAUACACAUAAUAGAUAAAACUGCUAAAGUUAUUAACUAAUAAUGAGUAAAUAUUGAAGGAAAGGAUUCUCCAUUGUGAGAAGCUGGAGUAUGAGUUCAUUAAAUUGCUAUCUAGAAAGUGGCAAUGAGAAAUUCAAAUGCAAUCCGAGCAAAAUACCUCAAAAAGAAAUUAAACAUAAUAGUAGAAACUAGAAAAUAUCAGAGAAGGAAACCUGUAGUUCGUAAGCUAUGAGUCUCAAGAACCAACAUCAGCAAAGCAAAGAAUUCAUCUUCAUAGUCUAACACCUUAUGAAGAAAAGGUCUUCUCAAUGCCAAUACCUAUCAAUUUACAAAUGAACCUCAAAGUAUUUAAUCUCAGGCAGCUAUAACAACACUAAUUGCAGUCAUAAAAAUAUCUAGUAAUUAAGCAAGUCCAAAAUAGUUCAAUAGCAAUUAAUACUUCCAAUGGCAGAAUAAUCAAUCUACAAACUUCAUCUUAAAAAUAAGAAAAAGAAAAGUACUUUCAAUUAAACUGAACAUGGUUUCAUGGUAGUUAAAUAAAAUAAUCAAUUUAUUUCAUUAUAAAAGUUCCAAAAAAAAAAAAAAAAAAACAGAAACAAGCAAAUUUACAAAAAACCAAGAUUGACCCACAAAUUGAAGAGGCAAAAUUUAUACCAAAACUGAAUGAUUUUGAGAAAUAAAGAAGGAAAACUAAAAUCGGUAUUUGUAAAUAUAAAAAAGAAGUGUUUUUUUUUUUUUUUUGGUUUGUAGAGAGAGAUAGAUGGAAGGUUACCCCAAUUGAGUAAGUGAGGGCUGCACGAAGACUAGCGGGGAGUUGCUGAGCAGCAGCCAUUUCAAAGAAGGUGGGACGAGCCCCUUGUCCUGCCACUUGAAACAACAUCUUCUUCUUCUUCUUCUUCUUCUUCAAAGAGGCGGUUAUUACUGCUCAGUUUCAAGGGUUGAACACACAAAAAAGAUUUGAGGAUAAGAACAUUUUUAUUUAUUUAUUUUUUUACAAUUCAGUCCAUUGGGUUGACCUUUUGAUGCUUUGUUUCCUUAACAUUCUCCAAAAUUCGAAAAUAAAGCCCUUUGGUUUUCAUCAUUUUUCUUAAAGGGUUAAUAUGGGAAUUAUAUCUUAAAUUAUAUAUUUUUUAGGAUUUGGUAUUCAUAAAAAAAAUUUACCAUUUAAGUAUUUAAAUCAUUGUUUUCAUCAAAUAUUUUGCUUCCUACCCUAAUUUUAUUAAAAAUAAAAAAUCAAUAAUAUCAUAACAUCUUAUAUAUUUUUAUUGAUCUAUAUUUAUCAAAUGCUUUACAAAAAAAUAAAAUUAAGAGAGUAUCGUAAAUUUUUUAUAACUAUCAAUAGUUAAAAGUUGUAUAUUUAAAAAUCAAAUUACAAAUUAACCCUUUUCAUAACUAUUUUUAUUUGUAAUCAUAAAUUAUAUCAUACGAUCACUUUUAAAAAAUUAUAUUCAAAAAAUUUAAAAUUCCAUUUGUGUAUCUUUCUUCAAUCUCAUAUUUAUAAAAUAAUAAUAAUAAUAAUACUGUUAGUAGAAUUCCAUAAAAUUUAGAAAUGAAGCUUUCUGUUUAAUAAUUAAUGAUGAUUUUCAUGCAGACGUAAUUAGCAAAUCAAUUAACAUGCACAGAAGUGAGAAUUUGUUUGAAAUUUAAAGGAGCAUCACAAGUUAACAAAUAAUUGUUUAUGAAAAAUCAGUGUGAAAAUAAAAUAAAAAAUAAAAAAUAAAAAAUUUUAAUAUUAUAUUUAACUAAUAUCAAAAUUUUUAAACUAUUAUAUAAAUUAAUUAAAUUAAAAUUUCAAAUUAUGAGCUUAGUACCAUACGACAUUCCAAUGCAUAUAUUUAUUGAUGUUAACAACCAAAUCAACCAUAUGGAACUUAUCCAAGUAUCUUUCUUGAUGCCACUGUAAAUUCCAAUGUAAUUUACACGGCUUGUAGUAUUAUGCUUCAUUUGCUUAGGUGGUGAGAUAAAUUGUGAUAGAAUUAAAAAUAGUAAUAAAAAUUAUAGUAAUUAUGAUUGAAAAAAAAAAUUAUUGUAGUUGUAAUUAAAAAAAAUAUUUAAUAAAAUAUUUAUACCGAGUAAAUCUCACUAGAAUUAGUAUUUAAAUUCAACUGAAAGUACAAUGAAUUCAAUUACAUUACAUCAAAAAUACGAUAAAAUUCAAAUGAACACUUAGUUAAUUAUAAGAUAUUGCGAAGCAAGAUAAGAUCCGACUUUCCAUCUCAAUGCAAAUACUUUAGAUUUGGGAGGUUAACAAUCAAGGGACCGAUAGAAACAAUAAAAAGCAGAGCCUAUGAUUUUCUUUCAAAAUGAAAAGAAUAUCACAUCUAUUCACCCAUUGAGCCUAUGAUUUGGAAGGUUAAUUACUUAAUCAAUGAUUAAUUAACAACCUUUUAAAUCUCUUCGCUUUGUAAAAAGAAAAAAAAAUCAAUAAAAAAAGAUAAAUGCUAAAUUGUUCCAGGUUUAAAAACUUUUAAUUUUAAAUUAUAAUUGCGGUGUGAGAUAAAAGAAAUAAAUAUAAGUAUUUACACUUAACUUUAAAUUUAUUAAAUGUUACUUUUUACGAAUAAUUAUAUGAAUCAAUUGAAUUAUAUCUGAAUUCAAAGUAAUAUUGAUUCUUAAUAAUUGUUGUAUAAUAUUAUUUUAUUUAGUAAGCAUCUUCUUUAGUAGAAAAGCUAUAGUUUAAUGGAUUAAUUUAUUUUUUCUUGUACAACAUUCAAACAAUAUUCCUACCUUAUCUGAUUAGCAUCCAAAACAACUUUAUUUUUUUAUUUGAUUUUAUAUUAGGGUUGUUAUUAUUAUUUAUAGAAUGGAACUUCUUUUUAGUAGAAAAGCUAUGGUUUAAUGAAUUAAUUUAUUUUUUCUUGUACAACAUUCAAAUAAUAUUCCCAUCUUCUCUUAUUAGCAUCCAAUAUUUAUUGAAAUUAAAAUAACUUUGUGAUCAAAUAGAUGCUACAAUUUGGUAGUUCUUUCAAUAGCAUUCACUUUACAGGUAGAUUAGAUCCUCUCCUAACCUCUUAAAUCAAAGCUAUUGGCCAAAAAAAAAAAAAAGGAACCUCUUAAAUCAAAGCUGCAAUAUCAGAGUUCUUGAGCAACCCCUAUUAUUGUCAAGAUCAAUAGCCAUAGCAUUUGCUUCUCUUGAGCAUGGGAAAUUCUCAACCAAAGAAGGGAUCUCUUAGUCAUGAACAUACCUUGUUCCAUCAGUAUGUGGAAAACAGGUCUACAAAGGAACAAUGUGAUGUAUGCAAUGAGGAAAUCUAUGGUGUGGUCUAUGCCUGUGAAGUCUGCGAGUUUACACGGCAUGCAUCAUGUGCACAAAAGCGGAUGCCUUUAGAGAUUACUCACCCUUCCCACUCAAUGCACGAGCUACAACUACAAGAUGAGUCUUCGGAUUUCUUAUGUGAAAGAUGUUUCUGUAAUUCUCGAGGCCCAAGAUACCACUGCUCUAGUUGCUUAAUCGAUGUUGAUUUAGCGUGUGUUUCUUCAAACAACGAUCAAUCCGCUGAAGGAGAUGAGGGUCAGAUACCUGAAGGCAGGGUAAGAAAAAGAACCAGGCAUUUCAGCCACGGGGAGCCGUUGGCUCUCUUCAAGUAUAGGAAGACAACACAACGAUAUGAACUUGAUUGCAGUUGGUGUGACAAGCAUUUAUUAGGCAUGUCCUAUGGUUGUUUCAACGGGGGACCUUAUGGUUGCAAGUUCUUUCUCCAUGAAUCUUGUAUUUCUAAGAUUUCCAAAAGAUUGCUACAUCCUUUUCAUCCACUGCACCAUCUUUUCCUGCAGUACAGUAAUGUCGGCUAUAGAUUCUCUUGCAACGCCUGUAAAGGUUCAAUUUCAUCUACGAAUUUAACAACAUACUAUGCCUGUCAUAAGUGUAGUUUCUACCUUCAUAUUUCUUGUGCUAGGCUCCAACCUACGCUGAAACAUAAGUGCCAUGAGCAUGAUCUUACAUAUUUUUCGAGAAGUACUGAAGAGUGUUUCAAUUGCCAUGCCUGUGGCCAUGAUUGCAAUGCCCAAAAGAACAAAGAAGGUGCUUUCUACCGUUGUGUACAAUGUAAUUUCAACAUCCAUUUCAGAUGUCUUCCAGCACCACCUGUGGGUAAACAUAGAUAUCACAGGCAUUUUCUCAUCCUCCAUCACGGAGUAAUUGAAGAUGAUUCUGGAGAGUAUUAUUGCGAUGUCUGUGAAGAAGAAAGAAAUCCAAAGCAUCAUAUCUAUUAUUGUAAGAAGUGCACAUAUAUUGCUCAUGUCGAAUGUGUUCUCAAAGAGGUAAGCUCUCAUUUGAACAUUUACAAUAUCUCCAAGUGGAAAUUGGCUAUGAAAAAAAUGAUAUCUGACUUGUUUGUUUUGGCUACAGGUUUCUGACUCUCAAGUGAGGAAAAUGAUGGACUUGGUGAAAAGACUUCAACGGAGUAACGGAAAAUUGCAAGUGCUCAAAGAAACAUGGGACAAUAAUAUCGACAGGAAUCAAUUGUUUGAGGUAAGUAAAGCUAUAUUUCUUUUUUCUCUGACAUGUUUUAGGAUUGAAAACCUUUAUUGCACAUGCACACCAACCCUUGCCCACAUCCAUAAUAUUGAAAGCAAAAUGAAUUUGAAAAACAAAAGAAUAUAAAAGAAAAUUAAUCAGACAUGUAAGAAAUGAUGGACAGUAACUGAAAGAAAUUUAUGAAUGCAAUGACAACAACAGAGGCAAUGCAUGGAUAAAAUGAUAUGUAACAGUCUCUUUUUGAUCAGAUGCAAUCAAUACAGUUUUUCAAAGGACCUUGAACUAGAGGAAAAGGAAAAGAAGAAGGAAAAGGUAAAAUAUUUUGAGAAUGAUGAAGAUGCAGAGAGUAGUACUAGUAGUGAUGAUGAUGAUGAUGAAAAGAGUGAUGAGGAAGGUAGUGAAGCAGAAGAGGAGGAAGAGAGUAAAAAAGAAGAUGAAAACGAGGAAACGAGUGAAGAAGAAGAGGAGGAAGACAGUGAAGAAGAGGAGAACGACAAAGCGGAAACGAGCGAAGAAGAGAAGUUAGAUAAUAAGGAGGGGAAACAUAAGGAAGUAGAUGAAGAAAAAGAUGGGCAGGAUGACGAAAAGAUGGAAGAAGAAGAAGUAAAAGAGUUAGAGGAGAAUGAGGAAAGUAGUGAUGAAGAAGAGCAAGAGGAUGAGAGUGAGGAUGAAGAACCAGAAGAGAAAAAUGAAGCCAAUCAAGGAGAGGCAUCGACAUGCAUCAAUGACACCAAAGAGUUGAAGCCCUCGACAGAACCUGCACUUAAGGUCUACUUUCCUCAACUAGAUUUUCUUAAAACUUUUUGGUACAUAAUGAAACAAUUUAGUUCAGUUUUCUGUCUCUCUUUUGUCCUUUGAGAUGCAGAUUAAUCAUUUCAGCCAUCAUCAUUCAUUGAACAUUUUCCAGUUAACCAAAAAGUUCAAAGGUAACUGCAAUGCCUGUGGCCAAGAGCUACUUGGUACAGUCUACAUAUGCAAAACCUGUGAAUCUCCUUUCCACUAUGGAUUACAUAAAGCAUGCGCUGAGUUACCCCCUGAGCUGCAACACCCUCUUCACCCCCAACAUUCUCUAACCCUCUUACAUGAGUUCCCUCAUUCAGAAACCUCAUGGUUUUUAUGUGAUGAAUGUAGAGAAUUUUCUGCUGGUUUUGUUUACCUCUGCUUGGAUUGUCAGUUCAAGCUCGAUGUAAAAUGCGCAGUUUUAGCUGCUCCAGAAAUUGGGAGCCAAGAUCCAAAAAGUAGGAAGAAAGAAACCAAGUUACUCCAUUUCAGCCAUAACCAUAUUCUGGUCCUUGGCAAUCUUGUGCAUAGAUCAUUAUCAUGCCUCGGCUGUGAUUUACCAAUCUUUGGCCCAUCCUAUUGUUGCCUUGAUUGCCUUUAUACUCUUCAUGAAUCUUGCCUUAGAACAUUACCACAGCAGAUACAACACCCAUUUCAUCUGCCACAUCAUUUGGUUGCCUUCCCUGAAUACUCUCGAGAGAGCAAGUGUCAUGCCUGCAAAAUGGAUUUCCAAUUGGGUUUCCCAGUACGCGAUUUCAUCAGAUAUGGAUGUUUGCAGUGUGAACUUGACUUCCACUUUGUUUGUGUCAAUUCCCUUCGGAGAGCCUUGAAAUCUAAUUCCCACACGCACAAUCUUUACUACUUAGGAACAGACAACCAAAUGUUCUUAGAAAAAUUUGGACAACUCCAUAAAUUUAACUUCAUGUGUAGUGCAUGCAGUGAAAUGUGUAAUGGUCGAGCAUUCUAUCGUUGUGUGGAGUGUGCGAUCAAUUUCCAUUUGAAAUGUGUCCCUGUACCACAAAAGAUCAAAUCUAAAUGUCACCUCCAUCAUCUUACCCUCAAAGACUCCUUUGUUGAAGACGACACAGGAGAGUACUAUUGCGAUGUUUGUGAAGAGGAAAGACAUCCAGUAGAUCAUGUCUAUUGUUGUGUGGAAUGUCAUGGCCACUUUGUCGCUCACAUUGAAUGCGUGCUUCCAUUGGUAAGUUCAUCAUGUUCAUCUAUGGCUCUUUUAUAAUUAAUCUGUGAUCUACAUCAUUACUAAAAUAAUUUCAUUAGAAAGCAACAAGCUCUUUUCCUUUAUCAGGUGGAAGAAACUUCACCAGAUAUAACAGCAAUCUCCAAUUAGGAGUCAGGAUUUGAGAAGACCUCUAUCCGGGCUGAUAGCUAAUGGAAUCAACACAUGGUGGCUUUGGGUUUCAUUUUUCUUGUCGGUUUCAAUAAAGACACGAAUUUUAUUACAUGUACGAAACGUACUUGUGUUGAUUGUCUUCUUUUCCUUCGAUUUCAUGUUUUUACAAAUAGUACCCUAUAAUUCUAUUGAAAAGUUAAAUCAACCAUGAAAUUUCAUUCUGAUUACAAUCUUAAUCUUAAACUUUAAAUCAAAAUGAUUAAGCAUAAUAAGAAAUUUCUUUUUAAAGAUAUAAAUAAAAAUAUUUUUAGAAUUUUAUCAAUUAAAAUUGCAUUGUAAGAGUCAGACUUUGUUCAAUCUGUAAAUCUUUGGCUCGUGCAGUUGUUUAUAUAUUCGGUACUAUAAUCUGAAGUGGUUUCUGUAUUUACAAUCUGGGAAAAGGCUAAGAGGGUUAGUGUUUGAGAAAGAAGAGACAAUGGUUUCAAGAUUGAAUCCAUAAUUCUAUAUGGAGAUGUGGUUGUUCAAGUUGGUUUUGUACAUUGUUAUUGGCUUUGAGACAACAUUAAUUUGCUGUUUUCUAAAGAAAAACGACAAUAGAAUGAAUCAGGCAAUCAGCUGUUCGAAUAUCAUCUAAUUGGAUAGUUAAUUUGCUUGUGCACCAAGAGGAUAACCUACACCAGCAACACAUACAAGAAAAAACAGAGGAGAAAUUGAAGUUUCUCCUACAAAAAUCAGUUUAAUUAGAGCAACAUAUGGAUUGAAAAAUGAAAUGUUAAUUGGCUAGUUCUUGUUCAUUUUAACCAUCUAAUAUUAUUAAGCAAAAUCUUUGAACUCAACAAAUGAUUGUUCAUGGUUUUGCUUCUAUAUAUCUCAUUCAUUAUUUCCUUCAAAUCAUGGGUGCGGGCGCAGCCUAGAUCAGUUUCAUCGUGGCUGUCCAUUUUUAUGCAGUGAUCAUGCUGACUGCCCACCCUUAAAGUUUGUCAUUUUGAUACUACCAGAAAAUGUAGUAUAAUGGGCGAAAAUUUUUGUCGGUAAUAUUAUAUUUUUUGUCAAUAAUAAUAUUUUCAUUAGAUUUACUGAUGGAAAAUUUCAAGGACCAUGACUUGUUUCAUGUAUCAGACUUGUAACAAUCAAAAGAUUAACUCAAUGGUUCAUACAAUCAUCACAUCCAAAUUUGAAAUCCAAAAAAUUUCUACCAACCGAAUCACUGUUUUUUUGCAUACAAUAACCAAAUGGAAGUUGGAAAUUGUUCUACAAGUGUUUUUGUCUGCCAUAGAAAAAAGGAAUUUAAAUUUCCUGUUAGUUUCUUUGCUAAUAAUACCAAGAAAUUUCAUACUAUUAGCAAAUUUGUUGUUAAACCUUGACAAGUUCAAUGAAAUGAUUGAAUUUUCAGUUUCAGAUGUUAAACCCUGAUAAGAAUUGAGAUUUUAAUAGAAAUUUUAGAUUCUAGAGUCAUUGUAAUCAUUUCAACUUGAACAAAAUAACAAAACCUGUUAGAAAAAAAAGUCAUGGUCUAAAAGCCAUGGCACCUAACCAACUUUCCUACCAUUUCGCCCCCAAACCUCCUUCCCAUAUUUAUGUCCCCUCCAUUGAGUUCCCAACCUUUCACAUGUUUCUUCCGUACAUUGUUGUCGGUGGCUCUCGCCGGUUAGAGGUGUCUCCGCCCUAGCCCCUUAGUCGAGUCUCUCUACCAAAAAAAAAUGGCUCCUCCUCCUACUCAUUCCAGGAUUCUUGAGAUAACCCUCAUUUCCGCUGAAGACCUAGACCCUGUCUCCAAAAACAUGAAGACCUACGCGGUUGCUUGGGUCCAACCCGACCGCAAGCUCGCCACAGGGGUAGACCUGACAGGCGGAGCCGAUCCAACUUGGAAUGACAAGUUCAUGUUCCGAGUCGAUGACAAGUUUCUCAACUCGGAGGAUGCCACAAUUUUUGUUGAGAUCUACGCGGCUGCAUGGGUUAAAGAUGCCUUGAUUGGAUAUGCUAACGUCCUGAUCAGGGAUAUUUUCCACUUGAGAUCUGUAGCCAACGCCAAGAACAACAACUCCGCCACGAGAACCGUCACGCUUCAAGUCCGCCGUCCCUCUGGCCGCCCCCAAGGGAUUCUCAACAUGGAGUUUGCCCUUGUUGAUAGUACCAUGCGUAGCUUGCCUCAGCUAGAAGACCCUAAACGAGAAACAAUAACCAGCCAAAAAAUGGAAAAUCACGAGACGAAUGAGUCAGCAAAAUCACAAGUUACACGCAACGCUAAGAUAAGCCGUUCACAAAGCGACCGGACCGAGUUAUCAAUGGAAGAUAACUCAGAGAAAAGGCCUGGAAAGGGUUCGAUUGUUAAUGGUGGUUCAGUUGCCAAUGGUUCCAUUGUUAAUGGCAAUGGUAGCAUGGUGAAUGGUGACUCUCUUUGUAGCACGGACGUGGGGCCUUCAGCCUCGGUUGUAGCUGCAGCCAUUGCAAAAGGGUUGUAUAAACCACCACUUCCUCAUCAAGUUCAAUCAAAAGAAUCAAAGAAAAUAAGGGAAUGGACCAAGAAAGAGAGAGAAAAAGACCUAGACAUGAAGCUAGAGAGGUGGCGAUCGGAGAUUCAGCCCCCGUCUGCCACCGGAUACCGGAAAACAAAAUCGAGCAAAGAGCGAAGACCAAAGGGUAUGAAGUUGUUCUCCUGUUUUAGCACUGCUCUCGGAUGUGAAAUUUCGGUUACUUGUGGUGGAGGUCAGAAGAUCCAUAACAAUGGCAGCAAUAAAAUUUAUCAUUUAAGCUCUGUGGAUGAUAGUUAUAGCGAAUCACUUGUUUGAAUAUAUCUUUUCGAAAGAUUUGAUUGAGGUAUGGUACAAGAGAUCGAAGCUCUUUUUUGUUUAUUUCUUCCUUGCAAGCUACAAAGAAUGUCAUGAUCAUGAGAUAGUUGCAAGAGAUAAAUUGCAUCUCUUCUAUACUUAAAUAAUUAAAUCCUUCAUUUUAAUUGAUAUAUAUAUAUUAUAUAUAUUUAUAUAUAUUUAUACUAGACUAAUCACAUGAUUAGCAAAUUGUUAUUAUCCUGAACUGCAACGUUAAUUCAUGUCUUGUAAAACACAUAUAUCUCUCUCAAAAGUAUUCAUGCCUAUCAUGCUAAUUUAAGAGAAGAAUAAUCUUCAUAUAGAAAUAGAAAGAACUUAGUGGUAUUACACAUAUUCAAACCAAUAUGUCAUGAUGCGAAUUAGUUGUUAAUCAUUCAGGCAAUAGACUUUAUCUUUUCUCUUUCCCUGUUCCUUUAUUGUUGCUCAAUGAUAAAUGAAAUAACUCAAAGAGUAAAAUAAGGAUGAAAACAAUCAAGCAAAAAAUUGUGCAUGUAAAAUAUUUUAUAGUUUGAGAAAAAUAAUGUUAUAAUAAAAUAAAAUAUUCAAUGAAUAGUUCAUGAAUAAUUUUACUAUGAUAAUGUUUGAAUAUCAUUGUUAGGGGUAUUAGACUUCAAUGACUGACUGGUGAUAAAAAGUCCAGUUAAAAAAAGUUUUUUUCCUGCACACCACAAUCUCAUUUUACCCAUGAUAUUUUUUUUUAUUUCUUUUUUUUCCUUUAAAUUUAUAAUUCAUUUUUUUCGUUUUGAUUUUCUAUUUAAAAUUUUAAAAUAAUAACUUUAUUGAUUUAAUAUAAUAAAUUAAUUUUAUUAUAUAAUAAAUAAUAUAUUAAUAUUUUUAUUGAAUAAAAUUUAAGAUUUUAAAUAUUAUAAAUAAUAUUAAUAUAUAAAAAUAAUUUAUCAAUAUAUUUUUAAACAAAAUCUCUAUCGAUGAUUUUUUAUUCUUAUCCCAUCAUUAUAGUUACUUUUGCAUCUAAAUACAUAUCUUACAACUGAUUUUAAUUUUACAAUUAUAGUAACUAAUUUCACUAUUAUAAUAACUAAUCUAAUUUUCAUCACUAUUUUUAAUUUUAUCAGAAUCAAUCUCACUGUCCAUCCAUCCAAAUGAACUCUAAAUUAAAAAGACCAAUAAUGUUUCAAAAUAUAUUAAAAUAAUGUUUUAUGUUGUAUAUUAAAUUUAAUAAUUAUGUAUUUGUAUUGUGUAAAAUAUUGAUAAUUUAUGUAUUUAUAUAAUAUUUUAUAUAAAAAUUAUGUAUAAUAAGUUGAAUAGACACAAAAUACAUAAAUAUAUUUUUAAUUUUGUUAAACUCAUAAUUUUUAUAUCGUAUUAUAUUUUAAAUUAUCAUAUUUACCAUUCAUAAUAAAAACACUCUAAUUUAUAUAGGCUGCUCCCGCCAAUGAUUCAUAUAUCAUUUGGCUUUGGGUCAACUACUUUAUAAACCACCUUUUUUAAAAAAAAAUAAACCACCCUAUUCUUUCUAUUGAUAGAAAAGUUUUCAAAUUAUUAUAUUUAUACUUAUAUGUAUAAUACAUCUUUUGGUGAGUAUAUACUUAAAUUUAAGUUUCGACUUGACCAUGAAAGUUUUGAUAUAAAAAAUAUUGAACUUGGUUUAGUUGGACAAUAACUGUACAAAAUUAUCCUUUUCACCUUUUAAAAGAUUUUUCAGCUUUUAUAAAGCAUCAUCUUAUUGAAUGUAUAAAAUGGUCAAAACAACUUUUUUACGUUCAUUUUACUAUAUACAGAUUUUGGGUACCUUUCAACGAGAAAGAUUUUACCAACCCUACCAAAUAUGAGAAUUUGAUACCGUAUCUGGUAGACAUUUUUUACAAACCCUUAGAUAUAUUUGAUCCACCUACCGAUCACAUCGAAUUCUUUGAUGAUUUAAACAAAAUCAUCUCUAAAUAUACCAACCCAAACUCUUAUCACUUCCAAUCGAAACCCGACCUCAUGGAUAAAGAAAAAUUCUUUUUCCAUUUAGCCACAAAUCAGACUAUCCAAAAAUAGCUUGUUGGAUAGAUGGCAGACGUAUUUUUGUUAAAAGAUUUCUGUAACCACAUGAAGAUCUUGAUAUCGAAAAUGCCUCAGAAGCAAUUGAGCUUUUGGAUAAAUUAUCUAAAAUGAAAGAUCUUGAUCUGACUGAUCUACUAUACCAGUAUCAAGAAGGAUGGCAAAUAUGAAACAAAUCACAUUCCGAAUCUCCUCAAUCUCUCCAAUCCCUUAACGAAUUGCAUGAAAAAUUUCAUAACCUAAACAAUGCUAUGAAAGGAUAAACUGUGCAUAUUUUAAUCCAGGAUAAGCCAAAACAAAUAGCCAACAUAAAAGGACAAAACUUUAUUCGACGCCAACGACUAGCAAACAGAAAAUACUGUAGUAAAGAUAAGACGUCACUGUAGCAAAAAAGUCAGAGACCUACUAUGAAAGACACUGUAACAAGUCACUGUAGCAAUACUGUAGAUAAAAUUUUACUGUACACUGUAGCGGGUAACUGUAUAAAGUUACUAUUUAUAGAGUAGAAUUUUUUUAUUUAAAGCCUCAUUGUAACUAAGCUUGAGGAGGCCAACUUUUCCUUCUUUCUCAUACUUCUCUCUUUACUUCAUUCUCUUCUUGACUUUCUGUCCUCUAUUUGUAUACAGAUAUAUAUAUAUAUAGUUUUUGUAAUAUUUUAAUACAUAGAUUCUUUUCGUACCCUCUUUAUAAAUGGUAUCAGAGCUAUAGGCUUGUAUAAAGUUUGCUAAAGCUUGUAUUAACAGAUUCAAUAAUAAAAAUAAACAAUCUUUUUCAAAGAAAUCUCGUUUAAGAAAAAACGAAAAUACUUUUGGAAAAAAUGGAAACCCACUCCUUUCAAACUUAAAAAAGGUAAAUUUGUUGUUAAAAAGAAGAAAAAAUCUUCUAAAAACAAUUGUAAAUGUUUUCUUUGUGAUCAAGAAAGUUACUAUGCAAAAACUUAUCCUAGCAAAGGAAAAAGUGUGAAGAAAAUGAUAAAAAAACUUAACGCUAGUUUUCUUCAAAUUUGUUUUGCUGAUGAAUUAUCUGACGAAAAAAUUUAUUAUAAAGUUUUCUCAAAAAUUGAUAAUAGUUCUUCUGAAGAUGAAUCAGAUUUUAUUUUUAUGUUAAAUACUGAAUUUAACCAAGAUAAUAUUUCAGUAACCUCUUCUACAGGUACAAUAACUACCAACGAAGAAGGUAUGGUUAAACUAAAAAAUGUUAUGAGAAAAACUCAUGUUAUUUCUGAUGAUAAAAUAAAGAAUUACAACUCAUCAAACUAGAUGAGAUUUACAAAAUAAGUUGGUUUUAAACGAUUUCAAACUUUGGUCUAAACCUAUAUAGAAAAACAAUUCUGGUGAUACAGUGCUACUGAAACUUAACAAGGGAUCAGUAAAAAUUUUUCUGUUUAUUAAAAAAAAAACCGUUUUCUUUCCUAGAUAUCCAAAGGUCAAAUACAUCUAUAUAGGAACGAUUUUUGAUCACCAUUAAACCAUUAUCUACAAAGGAUAUUCCCAUAAUAACUGUUUUAAUGGAUAAUCAUUUUCAAAACUUUGCUAACGCUGUAAUUGGUGGAAUCCAGUCUAAUUUAACAGUAGGCGUAGUUUUAUUUAAAGUUAAACCAAAAUAUUUUAUUUCUAUUUUUGAUGAAAAAUUAAAAAUGUUUGUGUCUUCGAAUCAAAAUAAUCAAUUCUGAUUUCGAAUCUACAUCGCAUGAUCUUUCAAUCAACUGGUCAGGCGGUUUAAUGAUUUAUCAAAUACUACUAAUACUUCUAUCAAACCGAUAGAUUUUAAUAUUAUUGAAAUUUUUGAAUCAAACACCUUUGCUUCAGAAAUUAAACAUAGAUUAGUAAAUCUCGCAGACUUAUCAAUCUCAAAAGGAUGGUGUCUCGAAGAUCUUUCAAAUACUUCUGAAAAUAGAAAGUACCAAAUUUAGAAUUUUUCUCAUCAGAAAAAAAUCUUACUUUAACAAUCCAAAUGAAUCAACCAGUUUUUAACCCAAACCUGGUUUUACUUCCCAUAAAUAUUUUUGAACAUCAACAAAAUAAUGAUAUUGAGAGUAUAACUAGUAAUCAAUCUUUUUAUACUCCUUAUUGAAGUUUUUUUUCAAGUUUUCAUGGUACAAACAGUACAGAAGCCCUUAGAUGAGCAAAUAAUAUGCGCCAAUCAGGUAAUACAAAUAGUGCUCAAAUUUUUAUUUUUGCAAAGAGAUAAUCAUCUCAAUAAAGUACAGUUGAUAAUCAAACUAAUUAUCAUUCUGUUAAUUCUGUGAUUAAUUCAUACACUUCUUCUUCUAAAAAAACUAGAACUGAAGAUAUUAAAAUGAUUCAUUCUAUAAAUAAUUUUUGUAUUUAUGAGACUCACCCUUAAGAAAUAAUAUCAUUUGCCAAUAAGGUAAGAUAUUAUACCUAUAUAGAAGGUUAUUUUGAUCAUCCGACUGAUCUAUUAUACAGUAUCAAGAAGGAUGGUAAAUGUGAAACAAAUCACAUUCCGGAUAUUCUUAAUCUCUUUAGUCCCUUAACGCACUGGAUGAAGAAUUUCAUAACCUAAACAAUGUUAUGAAAGGAUAAACUGUGCAUGUUCUAAUCCAAGAUAAGCCAGAACAAACAGCCGACAUAAAAGGAUAAAACUCCAUUCGGUGCCAAUGACUAACAGACAGAAAACACUGUAGUAGUCACUGUAACAAAAGAUAAGACGUCACUGUAGCAGAAAAGAUAGAGACCUACUACUGAAGACACUGUAGCAAGUCACUGUAGCAGUACUAUAGAUAAAAUUUUACUGUACACUGUAACGGGUAACUGUACAGAGAAAGAUGUUGAUCCAUUAUAUCAGGAUCUAAUAGAUCUAGAAAUCGCCUUAAAAUCAUCAAUAUCUUGGUUAGAUAUUGCUUCGGCUUUUCUCUUCCCAUGUGCCUAAUGUUUGAGGGAUAGGAAUUUCAGGUUGUUCUGGAUCUGGUUGAUCAUCAAAACUAUUUUCUUUAUCGGAUGUGGUUUCAUUUGAUGAAGGUGGUUCAUCCAAUCAAGUCAAGUUGGAUUUUAAGAUUUACACAACUCAUAUAUGAACCAAGUAGUUCAGAUGGAUUUAGACCCAAUCCAACCUAAAACGUUGAAGCAAAAAAUUAUAAUUUAAAAUAUAACACAUAAUAUGAUUUAAAAUUUUAACAAAAAUUAUAUAUAAAUUUAAUAAAAAUCAAAUGAAAAAUUAUAUGAUACAAUGUAGUGAAAAUUUUUAAUUUUACAAAUAUGAUUAAGAUAAUGACAUAUGUUUCAUUUUUUAAAAUUAAUUUUUUUAAUUGUUUAAAUACACACUAAAAAAUAUGUAUUAUUAUCUUAAUCCCACUUUUGUAAUUAAAAAACUCAAUUGUCAAUAUAUUUGAUAAUUUUUCAAAUCAAAUUAUAAAUUUCGUAUUUUUCAUGUUAACUCGAAUUGUAAUAUAAUUUUUAUAUAAAAUACAAUACGAAUAUAUAAAUCAUUAAUAUUUUACUCUAAUAUGAUUAUCAAAUUGACCUAAAAUUAAUCAUCAGAAAAACAAAAACCGAUGACUUUUGAGUACAGGAGAUAAAUUAUAGCAUCUAUUAUUAAAUAAACAACUAAUAGGCAGGUCCCAACAAGUUUUCAUUGUCAUUUAUGAAAAAAAUUCCAUUUGAUUUAAAAUAAUCCCUUAAUUUCGUAAAGAUUUAAACAUUUGAUUUGUUAACGUAAUAAUUGUUUGUUGGAGAUUAAGAGUAGAUGUGUAAAUGAUUCAUUAAUAUUUGAAAACUACUCAGGUUUGAUUCGAAUAAAACUCAAUUCAGCUUAAUUAUUUUCUAGUCGAGCUCGAGCUCGAGUAGCUCAAUUCAUCAAUGAGCCAAUUCGAGCAUUUUUAUAUUUGACUCGAGUAGCUCAUGAGCCUAAUCGCGCUUUUAUAUUUAAAUAUAUUUUUAUUAUUUUAAUUAAUAAAUAUCUCGAGCCUGAGCUUAAGCACAAAUAAUCAGCUUUUGUCCAAAUAAAAAAUUGAGUUUAAUUUUUACAUAUUAAUCGAGCUUAAUCGAGCGAGCUCAAGUAGCUCGAUUUUUUAUCUUGAGUCAAGUUUGAGCUAAAAAAAAAAUUCGAUCGAGUUCGAACCGAGUUUCGAACCUCAAAUUUUGAAUUGAGCUCGAACUUAAUACUGUAUCGACUUAAAAUUCGAUCAAUUACACCCCUAAUUAAUAGCCUAUCCCACAGACUGAAAAGUAAUAUUAUAUGCAAAGAAUAAUAAUAUUGCACAAAAAGAACACCAAAAAUUUAUAUUGAUUCAUCCUCACUAUGAGAAUUACAUCAACUUUUAAAAUCGUUGUAGAAAUUUUACCAUAAAAAAGAUGAAAAUUACAAAAGAGAAAAAUUAUCUCUUACUUAGCUUUCCAACUCUCUCUAUCUCUUUUUUAGAAGAGAACACCUCACAAAACUCUCUCUUUAAAAAACUCUCUUAUAAAUGAAGAAUUAAAUUUUGCUAUGAUUUUUCUCUUCACAAAUCAAAUCUAUUUAUAAGCUCUAAGCCCCUUUAAUUACAUCAUCUCUUACAUUACUUUAGUCAAUUGUAUCAUCCCUUGCAUCACUUUGACCAAUUUUUUUUUUUAAUAAUUUGUCUCCACACUUUAACAUUGUUAUCAUAUUUUGCAUAUCAAAUACAUCUUAAAUAUUGUAAUAAUUUUAUAAUGGUAAUAUUUUGUAAUAUUAAUAUAAUUAGGUUAUCAAAUGUAAUAUUAGUAAUUAUGAUUUUAUAAAAAAUUUAUCUAAUUUUAUAUAUUUUUUAAUUAUAAUAUCAUAAUACUUAAUAUUAGGUUUGACUAUAUAAUUACAUUAAUAAUAUUAUAUUAACAAUAAUUAAUGAUACUGAAAAAUAAAUGAAAAGGCAAUUUGGAAUAAUGGAAUCUCUAGUUAGUUGUUCAUAAUUUAAUCAAUAAAAUAAUAAAAAUUAAUUAUUGAAGUGGCAAUGUUGUUUUAAUAGAUUAUGGUGAUAGUAAUAGUAGCUAAUUUAAACUAAUUAUUAUGUUGGAAAAGCUAAUAGGGCAUAUGACCUGACAAGUAGGAUUGCCAGAAUGGUCAAGGAAAGGAUGUGCCCAUAAAAUGGUGAUUUCUAGGUAAUUAGCAAAAGUAAAUAAAUUUAGAGUUUAACUCAAUUUAAUUUAUAUAAUCACUCAGAUAAUAUCAAUAAAUAAAUUUAUAGUUAAAUUUUAACAUUACAACUUUUUUCUCUAUAUCCGAAUUAUGCCUUACUUCUUUAUUAAAAAAAUAAAAAUUUGUAUGUUUUGUCAAAGAAAAUAAAACUAAUAAUUAGUUUCAUAUCANNNNNNNNNNNNNNNNNNNNNNNNNNNNNNNNNNNNNNNNNNNNNNNNNNNNNNNNNNNNNNNNNNNNNNNNNNNNNNNNNNNNNNNNNNNNNNNNNNNNNNNNNNNNNNNNNNNNNNNNNNNNNNNNNNNNNNNNNNNNNNNNNNNNNNNNNNNNNNNNNNNNNNNNNNNNNNNNNNNNNNNNNNNNNNNNNNNNNNNNNNNNNNNNNNNNNNNNNNNNNNNNNNNNNNNNNNNNNNNNNNNNNNNNNNNNNNNNNNNNNNNNNNNNNNNNNNNNNNNNNNNNNNNNNNNNNNNNNNNNNNNNNNNNNNNNNNNNNNNNNNNNNNNNNNNNNNNNNNNNNNNNNNNNNNNNNNNNNNNNNNNNNNNNNNNNNNNNNNNNNNNNNNNNNNNNNNNNNNNNNNNNNNNNNNNNNNNNNNNNNNNNNNNNNNNNNNNNNNNNNNNNNNNNNNNNNNNNNNNNNNNNNNNNNNNNNNNNNNNNNNNNNNNNNNNNNNNNNNNNNNNNNNNNNNNNNNNNNNNNNNNNNNNNNNNNNNNNNNNNNNNNNNNNNNNNNNNNNNNNNNNNNNNNNNNNNNNNNNNNNNNNNNNNNNNNNNNNNNNNNNNNNNNNNNNNNNNNNNNNNNNNNNNNNNNNNNNNNNNNNNNNNNNNNNNNNNNNNNNNNNNNNNNNNNNNNNNNNNNNNNNNNNNNNNNNNNNNNNNNNNNNNNNNNNNNNNNNNNNNNNNNNNNNNNNNNNNNNNNNNNNNNNNNNNNNNNNNNNNNNNNNNNNNNNNNNNNNNNNNNNNNNNNNNNNNNNNNNNNNNNNNNNNNNNNNNNNNNNNNNNNNNNNNNNNNNNNNNNNNNNNNNNNNNNNNNNNNNNNNNNNNNNNNNNNNNNNNNNNNNNNNNNNNNNNNNNNNNNNNNNNNNNNNNNNNNNNNNNNNNNNNNNNNNNNNNNNNNNNNNNNNNNNNNNNNNNNNNNNNNNNNNNNNNNNNNNNNNNNNNNNNNNNNNNNNNNNNNNNNUUGUAAGUCUCUGCUACGUGUAUCAAACUCUAAGUGUCUGCUGAAUUCCAAUUUUUUUGUGUUAUACACACACUAUAUGCCUCUUCUGCCAUUUUAAAAAUGGAUCUUUUUUCCUUUUAAUUUGGUUUUCCCAUUUUGUAUGAAAAUGGUAUUCCCUUUUUAAUUGUUGAAGUAAAAAGAUUUUGUUUUAAGUGUUUUAGAAACUAAGAGGUUAUAAAAUAUGAAUUGUAUGCCUUCUUUGUGCAGGUAGGGCACCAAAUAAUUGUAAGUUAUGCAGAAUGCAUGGGAGUUCCAUUGAUCCAAAGGUGAAUACAAGGAUCCACAAGGCAAGCCCUUUAAAUGAGAAUUUUGUGGUAAAACACCAUUUAUCUUUUUUCAGAAAACUUAUAGUCCUCCCUUUAUACUUUGUUUGUCAUUUCAUGAUAAUUAGCUUGUUCUGUACUUUGACUUUUUCCAGAGUUCUGGUUAUGGUAUUUUCUUCAAGUUUGUUUUAGCUGAUACCAAAAUUUUAAGCAUUCUUAUUGAGAACUUUGCAGGCUUCUCUAUGUAUCUCUUUGUUUGCACAUAUCAUUUAAUUGCACAAUUCAUAAAUUUCUCUUUCACUGCAUAACAUUCAGGGAAACCACAUAGAAAAUUGAUUUCUUAAUCCAUUUUGUAAGCAGGGCAAAUCAUGAAGAAAUUUUCUUUAUAUUUGGUAAAAAUUAGUUCCAGAUAAUUCUUUUCACAGAUUAGUUAACUUUCAGCUGAGCAUCUGCCCUUUAACUUGACAAAUGUACAAUUUGCACAUUCUCUCAUUUCAGAUUGCAGUCAUCAGAAACUUGGCUACCAAAUGACACCGGGUGAUGAGGUUGAAGAUAUGUUUGUUUUGUUAAAUGAAGAAACAGAUGCCUUCUGUCAUAGCAGUAUCUUCUGGUGCAAUUGCAUCAGAUUAUCAAAGGCUACGUGUGGAAAGUGUCUGUUCAAGAUUAGAGCUUGUUUCUCUGGCAUAUUUGUGGAAAAAAGAUCAAUCAUUGCUUCUCCAGGAAAUGGUAGUUCUUAUUAUGUUAACAUGAAUAAUAGUUAAUCAGAAUUUAGAUAGUUUCACAUAUUAUUUUCUUUUUUGCCCGAUGCAGAUAACAAAUGGCAUUGUGGCUAUUGCAGUCAAUGUAUGUAGUAUCUUUAAUUAAUUCUUUUUUUUUUAUCAUUUUACUGUAUUUGUUUAGAAACCAUGUGAUCCCUUUCUGCAUGUUCUAUAUAGAUUUAUUUUCUUGUUAUUUCUUUUAUGAGAUGCUUCAUCAUAUCUAUUUUAAUUGAAGUAUUGUCUGUUCUUUGAAAAUUAUGUCAUAGGUUGCAGCCAUGGGGUUGGACCCUUGCAAAGCACUUGGGCAAAGAAAUAGCAUUUUUGAAAACUUAUCUGCAUAAAUUGAAGGAGUAUGUCAAUGCUUUUCUUUCAACUUUCUCUCCCUCUCUCAGAUUCAUGAUAUACCAUUUUAUAUUUCAAGUGUGGCUGCAAAAUUAGAUUUUUCUUUUUUAACUCCCUUUUGGCAGCUUGCAUGGAAUCAACGUAUGUGGUGAGGGAGGGAAGUAUGAAACUUUGACUCUUGACCGCCCACUCUUCCAUGUAAGAUUAUCUGUUGACUAGUCUACCGGUGAAAAUAUUUAACUCCCUUUGUUUCUUUUUAGUAGCUUCUUUUGUUUCUUUCCCAGGAUAUAACCGAUUACAAUGUUCUGAAACAAGGUGGCUUUGCAGCCCAAUGUAUUUAACAAAUUCUUUACUUAUUGUUUAUUCAUCAUAAGUCAUAAGUAUUAACAUUUAGAAUUUUUUAGAAUGCUAGAAUCAUUAUUGAUGAAUUCCAAGUUGUGCUGCACUCUUCUGAUUCCAGAGCUCCAGUUGGAGUUCUGCAUCCAUUGAAAUUUCAUUUGGAAAGACAGGCAUCCAGCUCGUCAAGUGUUUAUGACAAAACCAAUGAUAUAUGCGGGGAGAAUAUGAGUUCUGCAUAUGAAGUGCAAGGUGAAAAUCCUCAAGAAUGCAAAGCUCCAAGUGAAUCCGUUCCUGAAGUUAGUGACUUGGUUGAUGUUUCAAGUAAUCGGCUUCACAUCUUUAAAACAGAAAAAGAUAAUACAGUUUCUAUUUGUUGCCGGUUGCGAGAUCCAUCAGAACCUUCACUGGGUAAAAGAAAAUGAAGCUUUGCAGACUUGCAGUUGCUAUCCCAUGCAACAUCCUCCUUUCUAUUUAACCAUUGUUUCCAAAUACAAAAUUACAAUUAAUCACUGUUUUCGAUAUUUUUUAUUGGUAGGUUUGCAGGAAGAUUUGAAGCUGCUCCUUAGGCAAAUUGAAUUGCAACUUCUAGGAUGUGGUUUUGGUUGGGAGCAUGUGCUUUAUAGUCAUCUGUACAUAUCCGAUAUGAAUCAGUUCACACUGGCAAAUGAGACGUGAGAUUUAUUACCCAGGACAAAUGCCCUUUUGGUGUUCCAUCACGAAGUACUAUUGAACUGCCUUUAAUUCAAGCAGGUUUAGGGAGAGCAUAUAUUGAAGUGCUGGUGGCCAAUGAUCAGAGCAAAAGAGUUUUGCAUGUUCAAAGUAUUUCAUGUUGGGCACCUUGUUGCAUUGGACCAUAUAGCCAGGUACACUGAAUCAUGAGAUUUACUUGCCAUCAAUCAGUAAAGGUCCCUUUUUGUAACAUUUUUCUACUUUAUAUUUUCAAAGGAAUAUUGAAAUUUGAAGAAAGUAUGACAAUUAACACAUCUUUUCCUUUUAACCGUCAGGCUGAUUUUUUUGGGGCUGUGUUUGGAUGGGGAAUGGCAGGGAGGGAGUGUAAGCACAGUAAUGGAUUUCUUGAUGAUAAGAGAUUGAAUUGCUAGCCACUCAGGAAUCCUAUAUUAUAAAGAUAUGAUGCAUAGAUGUUAAAAGAUGACUGGGUUCUUUUGCAGUCGUACCUGAUAUUUUAUGAAUGUAGCAUUGUUUCUAUCACUAUGCAGUCUAUUCAACUUUUAACUUGUUCAAUUUUACUUUUAGGCAACUUUGCAUAAAGAGAUACUCCACAUGUCUGGUCAGUCGGGACUUGAUCCACCUACAAUGACUCCAUGGUGGAGGCUCAACUGCAGAACUUGAACAAGCACUGCAAAACAGUGAGGCAAUAGCAAAAUGCUUUAACUGCUCAAUAUCUACUUCUGCUAUUCUCUUUGUGGUUUACUGCUCGACAAAUAUUCCUUUAGACAAGAGACCCAAAAUCCAUGACAAGCUGGAUACAUUUGUGAAACAAAUUAAGCUGUCUCAUUUGGAUAAAGGGAGCAAGCCUGAAGUUCUUGAUCCUAUUUUUCUUUAUGUUCUAGUUCCAGAUCUGCCGAAAAGGUAAAUGGUCCACGUUUCUGUGAACUUUUCAAUGAAUAUUAAGAAUGCUGACAAACUGACUUGUAAAAGGAAGUUCUCACCUUUGAAAUUCUGUGUUUAUUUUUAUUACUGCAAGCUUAGUCACUAGAAUUGUUUGCUGGAUGACCAGUUAAAUAAGUAAUGGUAUGCAUUGGAUCCAACAGCAGGGCAUUCCAUCACCUAUUUCUUUUGGUAUUGCAGAGCACUUGUAGAAGUAAAGCCUAUUCUUUAUGUCCCAGAGACUACGGAAACAACUGAAGAAACUUUGCAUGAACUUUCUGGCAUAAUGGCACCUAGUUGUUAUAGUUUUCAACCUGCAGAUUGGCAUGAUUCAUGCAUUCAGAAAUGUGUCAUUCAGGGAAAGAUAUGUGCAGUGGUAUUGUCUAUCACAAGUGCAGUUGCCCUGAAGAUUUGUUCUGAUUCUGCGAAUGCUGAUUGGAGCAAUAGGAAUCAUCAGAACUCUCUGACAGAGAGCCAAAUGAAAAGAAUAUCUAGAUUUUGCAUCUAUCUUCUCUACAAAAUUGUUAUCCAAAAUUAUUUUCUUGGAAAGACACUAUGGUAAGUUUCUUAGGCAAGAGCUUCAUUUCAUUUCCAUUGGUUCUAACUAGAGUUAUAUCCUGUUGUUCUUUGGUUAGAAAAAUGCUUCUCAAGAUUCAUCAAGAAAAUUUCAUAAUGUUAUAUUUAGUUUCUUGGUUGCUGGAGUUGUCACUUGUGAUUCUGUCAUUUAUUUUAUUAACCCUCUCCUUUUAUGUGCUAUAUGCACACCUCCCUGUUGUCAUCAUAGUUCCUCACAUUCAUUUCCCCAUUUUUCUGCAACAACAACAAGCCAAGCCUUAUUUCCCCAUUUUUCUAGACUUUGAAAAUCUACUUCCCACCAAAUCUCCAUGUGCCUUUGGAGACAUUAUCAGGCUUGUUCAUGGACGCAUUUAAGGAACUUGAUCAGAUGAGCAGUAGUGCUAAAGUUGGCAGGAUGCCCAUCUUCAAUCUUGUUCCUGUCGUAGCUGCUGGAACAUCUGCAGCCUACACUGAAGAUAUAAUCACCUUUGAGCUGUUUGCUCGGAAAUCUUGAUCCUCCACUUCACAUGGCAAUCAUCUUUUUUCUCCAAGGGAUGGAUUAGUUAUCAAAGCAAUUCCUUUCUGAAAGUUGCAAAGGAAGCCCAAAACAGUCACCCCACUGUGCUUAGCUGUUGAAGUGGUAAUUCUUUUGGUCAGUUUAUAUGUAAGAUUUCAUGACAUCGAUUUUCUCCCAUCAUAAGGUACAAAUGAGUAGUAAUUACUUGCUAGGAGUCUAAAGAAUUUGUCUAAGUCAAAUUUAAAUGUAAAUUGCACGUUUUAUCAGUAUAUUCUGAUUCAGAAUUUCUUGUUUGAGUCAAUUAUUUUUUAUUCAAAGAUUGUUUUUCAGAAUUCGAAGCUUAAUUCAAUUAGAUCAUACAAUUAUUUUUAAUAAGUAUCAUUUCAUAUGUUUGGGUUUAGAUUCCUGUAACACUUGCAAUUCUUUUUUUUUAUUUUCAGAUUACGGUUUCGUUUGUCAAUCAGUAUAUUAUUAUUGAGAAUUACUUGGAUGCCAAAAGAUUUGUUAGGGUUUUAGGAAGAUACUAUUGGUUUGAACACUUUGGUAUCCUAUUGGAAAUUUUCUCUCUCUCUCUCUCUGUCUCUCUCUUUUUUAUAGUGAACAAUGCAUAAGGUUAGCCAUUGACAAACAAAAGCCAUGAAAGCUCUUCUUAUUAAAUUAGUAAAUCAUUGAAUAAACUUGAUAGAAAAAUGGUGCAUUUGCUUUGCCUGAAAAUAAAUAAAUAGAUAAAUGUGGGCACAAUUUGUCCAAAAAAAAUAUGUGGCCACAAAUUGUACACCAGAACCAAAAGAAAUAUAUGGAUGAAAAUGACUGAAUAAUUUUCCAAAUUGGGACAAACAAUUUGCAUGUGAGAUGUCUUCAUUUCAUUAAUUUCCUCACCCAUUUAACCAACAAAAUUUAUUUAAAUGAUAUGAGUCAGGUUUUGUCACCCCAGCAUCCUACUAAUGUGAUUACAGAGCAUCCAAUCAUCAUAAUGAAAGCCUGACCAAGUUUAAUGUUCAUAUCUGAAAUUGAAAAAAAAAAAAAAACUCUAAACUAUAUCAAAUCCUCUAAUUUGUCUUAAGGAGACUACAAUAGUUUUUGAUAGAUUUAAAAAUUUAUUUAUUCGUAUAAUGUAAAAUAUUAAAAUUUAUGUAUUUAUAUUAUGUUUUAUAUAAAAAAAUUAUGUUUAAUUUAUAUAUAAUUAUUGUUAUAAUUUUAAAUCAUAUUAUUUUUAUAUUUUAUUUUUAUAUCGUAUUCGUAUAAUGUAAUCAUAUCAUAUUUUAGAUUAUAAGAUUUAAUUUUUGGUAAGUAUGAGUAGCUUUAUAAGGUCCAAUGCAGAAGGACAGGUUACUGGCAACUUGCUUAGUUCUGUCUAAAAGUAUAAUCGAGUCGAGUCGAUAUAGUAAGAAGUUCGAGUUCGACUCACAACUCGAGAUUCAAUAUUUGACUCGAAUUCAAUCGAAUUUUAUUUUUCAAACUCGAGCUCGAUUCGUGAUCGAAUUCGAGCUAUUCGAGUUCGCUCAAUUAAGCUCGAUUAAUAUGUAAAAAUAAGCUCGAUUCGUAUAUUCGACAAGAGUUCAAUUAUUUAUGCUCGCACUCGAACUACGACUCGAAAUAAUUUAUUAAUUAAAAUAAUAAAAAUAUAUUUAAAUAUAAAAAUUCGAUUAGGCUCGCGAGCUACUCUAGCUGGAUAUAAGAAUACUCAAAUUCGACUCGAUCGAUAAAUCGAGCUAUUCAAGCUCGAACUCGACUCGAUAAUAAUCAAAUCGAAUUCAAGUUUUCUUUGAAUCGAACCUGAAUAACUUAUGAAUAUUAAUAUAUCAUUUACACCCUUAGUUCUGUCCCAGGAUUCUUGACAAGAAAAGUUUUUAUUGAAUAUUGGGGUUCUGGUUAUGGCUUUAUUAUCACCUUGGCUUCCACUUUUCAUCUCUGUUCCAAGGUCAGAGCAUAUCAUAGGUUUUAAUGAAAAAUAUUGACAAAAAAAAUAAAUUUUAAAUUUUAUAAAUGAAGUAUUUAAUUUUUAUUAAUUUAAUUAAUUGUCAUUAAUUUUUUUCUUCCGUAGCUGAAUUUCUAUGUGUAGUUAUAAUUUUAAAAUCGCACAAUAUUUAUUAAUCUAUUCUCAUAAAUAUUUUCAAGAUCAUAAUUUAUAAUCGAAUGUUUCAAACAAUUUAUUAAUGAUGACUUAAAUGAGUAUUAAUAUUAUUUUUCAUUUUUAUUAUGAGUUGGAUUUUAUUAUUUUUUAAUCCAAAAUUAAUUAUCGUGUUUUUAAAUUUUUAAUUUUUUUUUAUAUAUUUGAAGUUAUUAAAAUUUAAAUUUGAUUAUUAAAAUAAAAAAUUUAAUACUUUAUCAAUCAAUCACGUGAUUAUUUACGUAAAAACUUGAUAAUUGAACCAUCAAAUUAUAUCUCUUUUUUUUUUUUUGUUCAUGUUCAAAAUGCCCCAUUGAGUGUAAUGUUAACUUGGUUCAAACCUCUCUCAACAUGCAUCAUAAAAAACAAAUAAAACAAAAGGAAAGAAAAUGAAAGAAAGGGAAAGAAAGGAAUUUAUGGCCUUGGAUGGGACUAAGGGUGUAAUCGAAUCGAGUUGAGUCGAAUAGUAAGAAGUUUGAGCUCGAGUUUGACUUAUAACUCGGGGCUUGAUACUCGAUUUGAACUCGAUCAAGUUUUAUUUUUCAAACUCGAGCUUGAUUUGUGAUCGAAUUCGAGCUACUCGAGCUCGCUCGAUUAAGCUCGAUUAAUAUGUAAAAAUAAGUUCAAUUUGUAUAUUCGAUAAGAGUUCGAUUAUUCAUACUCGAACUCAAACUCGGACUCAAAAUAUUUUAUUAAUUAAAAUAAUAAAAAUAUAUUUAAAUAUAAAAAGCUCGAUUAGGCUCGCGAGCUACUCGAAUCAGAUAUAAGAAUACUCGAAUUCGGCUCGAUUGAUAAGUCGAGCCACUCGAGCUCGACUCGUUAAUAAUCGAACCGAAUUCGAAUUUUUUUCGAAUCAAAUCCGAAUAAUUUACAAGUACUAAUAUAUCAUUUACGCCCCUAAUCAGCACCUCAUUGAGAAACUCCAUAAGUAGGCCCAAAGAGGGCUUAAAUUUUGGGGCAUCCUUCUCCUGUCUUUCUAUAAUCAUAAUCACGUACAGCUUUAGCUCAGACAUUUCAAAGGUAUAAAUAAUACAAUAUAUUCACAAAUUAUAAGGUUAAACCUAAAUAAAAAUUGAAUUCAAUUAUAUUAUUAUUAAGUUGAAUUCGAGUAACUCAAUUUAUUAAUCGAUUUAAAUUUGAUAAUUUGAUAUUCGAUUUGAAUAACUCGUAAGUUUAAUUUUUUAUAUAUUUUAAUAUAUUGUAUUUAUUUUAAUUAAUAAAAUAUCUUAAAUUUUGAGCAUAAAUAAUUAAACUUUUAUCAUAUAUAAAAAUUAAAUUUAUUUUUAUAUGUUAAUCGAACGAGUUCGAAUAAUUUAAUUUUUAUUUUGAAUUGAACUCGAAUUAUAAAAAUUAAAUUUGAUUUAAUUCAAGUCGAAUUUUAAACUUCAAAUUUCGAAUCGAGUUUAAAUUUAAAUUUAAUAUUAUAUCGACUCAUAACUCGAUUGAUUACAUUUUUAUUAUAAACUAACAAAUAUAUAUAUGUAAGCUUUUUCCCGAUAAUUCAAAGAAAUUUAGGAGUUGCCACUAAUUGGACAAAUUAUAGCUUUUUUUUUUUUUUGUAGUUAAAGCUAAGUUGCCAUCAUAUUCGUAAUCAAUGGUGACAGUUGCCAAUGUACCCUUAAACAGACCAUUGUUUCAUCAGCCAUGAAAAUAAGAAAGAGCCAUGAAAAUGUGAAAGAGACCAUUGUUUCAUCAGCCAUGAAAAUGUGAAAGUGACCUUAGAGAGGUAGAGAUUUGGAUCAGAUUUUGAAGCCACACCCCCUCAGGCCCUGUCUUGGGGAAAAGAAAGUGAGAAGUGCCAAGGUUUUCAGUUGUUUCCAUGGCCAAAGUAAGGGAGCUUUCACUCUAAGAAAGAAAGAAAUAAAAUAAAAUAAGCAUAGGUGCAAAACUACAAAAGGUUUUCGUGACUUUUUGUGAGAAAUCACUGUUCAUAUGGCAAAGGGGGACCAAAGACAGCUUUACGGUCAAAGCAUUUGCGUGUCAAGCAAAAGAAAUCACCCCACAAGAAAAAAAAAUUUGUGGUAGUUGAGAAGCGAAAAAGAGAGGCAAUAUCCAAACAUUUUGAGCUCAAAGCUCACUGGUAGCAUUCAAAUCAUAAUAAUAAUUUAUUAUUAAAUAAUUAAAAAUUAAUAAAAAUAGUAAUAUAUUAUAUAAUGUUUUUAUUAUAUAAUUCGAUAUCACAUGUAUUAAAAAUAUAUGCAAUACAAUUCGUUGGUUGAUUAUGAGAAUACGAGUAUGGGGUUCAAAUAUGUUAGAAGAGAAGGAUCAUAAGUUCUAACAUGUUCUUUCUCAAAAUUUUCCCAUUGUUCAAUGAACAUGCAUGAUGACAGUCUUGGAUCAAGCUCGAAGCAUUCUGUUCUACUGGUAACAAGGAUUUUAAUGUUCAGAUCUUUCAAAUAAGCUUUUGAUCGUGCUUUUUGCUGUAAGUCAAGUUGUAUGGAGUAAUUGGAUUUAGCUGAUAUCAGGUUUUAAAUUAUCUGGUUGUUGCAUUGAUGAAUCAACCAAAUCAUCAUGAAUAACCAUUUUUUGUUAGGAUUUCUUAUAUACUAGUUGCCAACACAAAUCAUUAUGAACAUCAUACACUCAUUUCACUUUCUCCCAUAUGCUCUUUUGUUUGUUUUUAUUGUUUAUUUUUUUUAUAUUUUAUUGAUUUGAAUGUCGAAACGUAUUUUAAAAUAAUAUUUUUAACAUCUGUGAUUAUUGUUUUUUUUUUUUUUGGUAAGAAUCCAUCGAAAUAUCCAAAUCAACCAUUUUUUUAAUCUUUUGACAAACUCUCAAUCAUUAAAUUAAAAAACACACCGAUAAGAUUAUAUAUUUUUUAUAUGAUCAUUUAAGUUGAAAUUAAAAAUAAAAAAAUACCAACAAUUAUGUAGCUAUUAAUAAUAUAUUACUUUUUUAAUUGGAAUGAUCAAAUUCUAUCUAUAUAGGAUCUUUUGAAGAUACUUCCUCAUAAAAAUUUUGGUAGGGGUAGCAAAGCCUACUACUAUAAUAAUCUUUGACAUUUUACUUUGGGGGAACACAUUAAGUCAUUGAUUAGUUCAUUAAAAAUCAAAAGUUCAAUUUCACCUAAAAAUGACAAUAGAUCAGAUUGAGUUGGGUAAAAAAUUCAUCCUUAACUUGAUUCGAUUUUGUACUCAUAAUAUUUAAAUUUGACUUAAUAUUAUAUAAAUUAUAUUUAACUUGAAUCAAUCUAAAAUUAAUAAAAUAUUAUUUGUUAAAUAUAAAAUAUUAUUUUUAAUAUAAAUAUAUAUAAAAUUAAAUAAAUAAUUAAAAAUAUAUAUUUUAUGUAUAUCAAAUUAGAUUGAGUUAAAUUUACGUAAAAUUCAAUCUCGAUUUUUUUUUUUAUUAUUAUUCUACUUCAAACUUAAUUUUUUAAUUGAGUUGCCUUCUCUGAUUCCACCUGGGCAAGUGUUGUGGAAAUUUGUUCCAUCAGCAACUUCCACAAAGAAUAAAACAGCAAGCAUCAGGGGAAGUUUAUGCCCUGGGAUUGGGCCAAGAGACAACUUUAUGGAUGAAAAAUAAAAAAAUCAUACUUAAGUUUGAUUUGCCACACUUAGAGAAGGUAAAAAAAAAUGUACCCGAUGAAUUUUGAUUCGAUUCGAUCUUUUAGGAUUGAUUUUUUUUAAAAAAAAAUGGGUAUCGGGUCGGGGUCGGGUCGAAUGACAUGAAGAAAAAAUCGGGAUCGGGUUUUAGGCAAACCCGACCCUACCGGACUCGAUAUAUAUAUAAAUAAUUUUUUAAAUAAUUUAUUUAAUUUUAUAAUUAUUUAUAUAUAUUUUUAUAUAUAUUUAAUUUUAUAUUUAUAUUAAAAAUAAUAUUUUAUUAAUUUCAGAUCAGAUCAAAUUUGAUAUAAUUUUAUAUAAUAUCGAAUCGAAUCGAAUUCGAAUAUAAAUAAUAAUAAAAAAUUAUCGGAUCGAAUCGGAUUCGGGGCGAACAAAAAUCCACCCUGCCCCGACCCGCCAUCCCUAGCCACACUUCCUUAUCUAUUAUUUUUUAUAUAAAAAAUCAUAAUUUAAAAAUAAAUAAAAAAUUAUAUGUGAUAGAAUUUAAAAUUUAAAUUUAUUAUAUGUUAUUUAUUAAGAUAAUUAUAUAAAACAAUUCAAUUGAACUCUAAAUUUUUUAUAUACAUAAAAAUUUAUUCUUAAAAUAUUAAUUUAAUUUAUCUUUUUCUCUUUUCUCGUAAUCUUUGUAUUAAAGUUGAUCGCAUUAGGAAUAUAUUUUUCAUCGAUUUUAAAGUCAAGAUUUAAGAUGAGAACUUUUAAACGAAGUAAAUGAAGUUUUUUUAUUAAAAAAAAUUAUUUUAGAAAUCAAAGUUGGAUUUAUAUAAUUCAAUGGAAAAUUUUAAUAAUAUAAAAAAAUUAAUAAAAUAUUUUUAUAAUAAAAAUUUUAUCAAUACUUAUUUAAUUAUGAAAACAAUAUUAAAUUUUAUAAUAAAAAUAAUUAUGCAAAAAAAAUAUUAAAAUUUAUUAAUUUUUUAAAACUUUAAACACUUAAUUUAUAUAAUAAAAUAUUUUCAUUUAUUGGUUUUACUUCGUUUCGAAUUAAAAAAAAAAAACAAAAAGGAAAAAAGAAAUGGUCUUUAUUAAGUUGAUGCAAGAAGUUUCGUUUGACCAAUUCCUUUCGUUGACUUCUCCAUUGCUGAAUGCUGGUUGGGUCAGCAUUCAGCAUCGACAGCCAUUGGACCUUUGUACUAAACUUCAAGAUCUCAUUAAAAGAAAAAAAAAAAAGAAAAUAUUUCUUAAAAGUAUCAAAUUAAUGGGUUUUUAAUAAAUACUUAAUGUGUUAAAGUGUUAAAUUUUAUUAGAAUAUCAACUCAUGUAAUUGCUGAAUAAAUUAUUUUUUGAUAAUAAAUUAUUAAAAAUUAAAAUUUAAUUAUUAGAAUUAAAAAUUUAACAUUUUAUUAAUUGAUUAUACGAUAUUGAUUACCGAAUAUAUUAUUUUUUAAUAAAACAUGCCCCAACUCUUUCUUUUACUCAUUAUAUUAAACAAUUAUUAAUGAAAGUAAAUAUGAAAGAAAAUAGGGGUGAAAAAAAAUAAUAGAUAAAAAAUUGAUUAAAAAAUAUAAUAUUUAAUUCGAUUUGAAUUGAAAUUUUUAAAAUUUAAUUUGAAUUAAAUUUAUAUAUUAAAUUAAAAUCGAGUUUUGAAUUUAAAAAAUUAAAAAUUUAAAAAAUAAAUUAAAUUAUAUAUUUUUAUUAAUUUUUAUAUAUUUUGAAUUUUUAUAAAAUAAAAUAAUUAUUUUAUACUCAAAUUUAUUUAAAUAUAUUAAAGUUUAUAUUAAAAUAAUAUAAAAUAAAAAAUUAUUAAAAAAUUAAUGAAUCAAAUCAAAUUAAAUUAAUAAAAUUUGAUUUAUAUCAGAUCUUAUAAAAAUUUAAUUUAAAUUUAAAUAAAAUUUUAAAAAUUUAAUUUAAAUUUAAAUAAAAUUUUAAAAAUUUAUAAUUUAUGUAUUAUCUAAAAAUAUUGAAGUGAAUCCAAUUCAAAGCUAGAUUAUUUAUAGAUGAGACUAAAUUUAUUAUUUAAAAUAAUUUUUAUUAUGUUUUAGUUGUUGCUUAAUUAUUAUAAUUUCAAUUUGGGAAGGUUUUUCGAUUUUGUGAAUUUGUACGGGCAAAAUAACUGCAGUGAAUGGCAGAAAUAGUAAUUUCACAAAAAAACGAGGGGCAGUUAACGUUUGAAAAUGGCAAGAGAAUAAAGAAAACAAAAAAGUGAAGAAAUGCAGAGAGGAAAGAAAUGGAAAGAUAGAAAAUCAAAGUAGAUACAUUUUUAGAGAGAGAGAGAGAAACUUCACUCGAAAAGGAAAGAUUGUCCAGAAAGGGAGAGAGAUCUGAGUUAAGCUGCGAGUUGGGAGGAGUACUGAGUCGACUCGUGGUGCGGCGGCGGGUCACUGUUUCAACGAUUAAGAUCGCGACCCGUCGGAUCCUGUAUCUUGAAAUUGGCGUUAACCGUCCGAUUUAACAGAACCCCUCUCUCUCUCUCUCUGAAGUUUCAACUUUUUGAAGCCAAACUGAAAGGGAAAGCAAAAAAUAAUCGAUCGGGUUGGGUUGUGGAUCUUUAUUUCGGCGCUGACGCUGCUUCUGCUUCCUCAGGUUUGUCUUUCUUUUUUUAAAAAAAUUUGUUUAUUUUUUGUUUGGCUUUUUAGAAAAUGAGAGAAAAUAGAUGAGAAGAAAGGAAAAUAAAUGAAUAUAUUUUUUUGUUGUUUUGAAAUAUCGAUGUUUGGUUUUUUAUUUUUGUAAAUUUAAUAAUUUUUAUUGGUGUAAAAAAGCAAAAAUUUUUAUAGUAAUAUUGGAAAUUUUACUUAUUGAAGCUCUUUUUUUUUAUGUUUUGAUUUUUUGGGGAUUACAUUUACAGAUUUGAAGUCUGUGGAAGCUUUAACUUCACUGUAAAUGGAAGUGAAUAUAAAAAAAAUAGACAGCAGUUGGGCAAUGGUGAAGAAUUUACUGCAUUGCCAAAUUUUUUAGUAGCUUCAUUAGUAUUGAAGUUGGAUAGCAAAGCUUAAAAGCCCUAGUCUUGGUUGUUGUGGAACCUUAGAAGAAAUAUAAUCUUUUAUCUUAAAAGUUAUUGUUUUGGAGAAUUUAAGAUAAAGAUGGAAGUGAGUUUUUGUUAAUUUUUAUGUUUUUAAUGUUAGGGGGGUAUUAGAGAUGGAGG
rnacentral:lncRNA from 1 species